UACAGAGGGGGCAAGCGUUGUUCGGAAUUACUGGGCGUAAAGGGCGCGUAGGCGGCCCUCUAAGUCAGACGUGAAAUCCCUCGGCUCAACCGGGGAACUGCGUCUGAUACUGGAUGGCUUGAGUUUGGGAGAGGGAUGCGGAAUUCCAGGUGUAGCGGUGAAAUGCGUAGAUAUCUGGAGGAACACCGGUGGCGAAGGCGGCAUCCUGGACCAACACUGACACUGAGGAGCGAAAGCCAGGGGAGCAAACGGG
rnacentral:rRNA from 1 species